rnacentral:rRNA from 1 species
CUACGUGCCAGCAGCCGCGGUAAUACGGAAGGUCCUGGUGUUAUCCGGAUUUAUUGGGUUUAAAGGGAGCGUAGGCCGUAGAUUAAGUGUGUUGUGAAAUGUAGUCGCCCAACGUCUGCCUUGCAGCGCAAACUGGUUUACUUGAGUACGCACAACGCAGGCGGAAUUCGUCGUGUAGCGGUGAAAUGCUUAGAUAUGACGAAGAACUCCUAUUGCGAAGGCAGCUUGCGGGAGCGUUACUGACGCUGAAGCUCGAAAGUGCGGGUAUCGAACAGGAUUAGAUACCCUGGUAGUCCGCACGGUAAACGAUGGAUGCCCGCUGUUGGUACCUGGUAUCAGCGGCUAAGCGAAAGCAUUAAGCAUCCCACCUGGGGAGUACGCCGGCAACGGUGAAACUCAAAGGAAUUGACGGGGGCCCGCACAAGCGGAGGAACAUGUGGUUUAAUUCGAUGAUACGCGAGGAACCUUACCCGGGCU